GUUUGCUGGGCCAUCGGCUAGAGAUAUUUCUGGAUUUUCUAUGUGCUCCUUCUCUGUCGAGUGAGACUACCGCGGCCUUUUCCUUACCUUUGCGUGAAUCCGCCAACCUUCUCACAAGGAGUUGGGAGGAAAAGGAACAGAACUUCUUGGGGGAGAUGCCUGUUGGGGAGGCCAUUGUCACUGCUCAACUUCAUGGUCAUCGCUCCAUCUUGUACAUGAUGUCGAUGGCGGACAAGGUGCUUGUCCUUAGUAAUGCUUGUGUUUCAGAGAUUUUGUUACUUAUCGUGUUUUAAUUGUAUUUGCUUUUUGACCUUUUCAGGUAAAAGCCGAACUCGACAAGCUACUUGAGGCCAAGGAUCAGGCCGUAAAAUUAUAUGAGAGUAUGAAUGAGGGAAAAGCGAAUUUUGCUACCAAGGAGGAGGAUUACAGAGGUCAGCUUCAAAAAAUGGGUGAGGAGUUGAAUGCUAUGCUGACCUCUGAGCAGAAUCUCUAGGACGAGUUUGUUGCUUUAAAGAUUUGG
rnacentral:lncRNA from 1 species